rnacentral:rRNA from 1 species
GACGAACGCUGGCGGCGUGCUUAACACAUGCAAGUCGAACGGAGCACCCUUGAUUGAGGUUUCGGCCAAAUGAUAGGAAUGCUUAGUGGCGGACUGGUGAGUAACGCGUGAGGAACCUGCCUUUCAGAGGGGGACAACAGUUGGAAACGACUGCUAAUACCGCAUGACGCAUUUUGAUCGCAUGGUCGAAAUGCCAAAGAUUUAUCGCUGAAAGAUGGCCUCGCGUCUGAUUAGCUAGUUGGUGAGGUAACGGCCCACCAAGGCGACGAUCAGUAGCCGGACUGAGAGGUUGACCGGCCACAUUGGGACUGAGAUACGGCCCAGACUCCUACGGGAGGCAGCAGUGGGGAAUAUUGGGCAAUGGGCGCAAGCCUGACCCAGCAACGCCGCGUGAAGGAAGAAGGCUUUCGGGUUGUAAACUUCUUUUAAGUGGGAAGAGUAGAAGACGGUACCACUUGAAUAAGCCACGGCUAACUACGUGCCAGCAGCCGC